GGGUUAGCGGGCUACAGGCUAGCCUGCAGAUCACAGGCCUCCUGCACGAGUGCAGGGGCUAGCCUAUCCGUGCGCAGGGCAUUGCGAACGCAGGCUGCAGGCGCGCAGGGCCUAUCCGCACAGGCCUGCUGCGCGGACGGUGCACGCACAGUGUGCAACACUUGUCUGCGCACGAGGUGACGUGUGUAGGACCUAUCCCCGUGCUGUGCACGCGGAUAGGACAUGCGUGCUUGCAUGCAGAUGGAACAUAUGCGUUGUGUGCACGUCCCGCGACAACUGUGCACGCGC
rnacentral:lncRNA from 1 species